CCAGUCCUGUGAAGAGACAAAUAUCAGAGGGCACUAUGGUGGUCUAGAGUAAGGGAGGUGCCAUGAUGUAGAGUCUGAUAUGAACUUGAAACAAAGCAUGUAAAAUCCUUUCAGUACUUUGAGCUUAAUAUGAAGGUAUUCAGAGUGAAACUGAUGGCAUUAAAAUGCUUUCUGCUUUCCUAGUUACAAAGCAGGCUGUUUGCAGCAAAGAUUAUAGACCAUGGAAAAUUGAUUUGGGAGCACUGAUGUUGAAUCACACUGCGUUACCUCCAUUGAAAUCAUCAUAGGAUCAUUAGAACUGAGUACUGUAUGUGUUUCCAGAGCCACAUAGGACACAAAGACACUCUGCUUACCCAAAGAGAACUGUCAGGAUACACUAUAGAGCUAUGUAGAACCAAUUUGUGGUCACAAAAAAUAUUUUUGACAGCAUAUAUUAUGUCAUCUGGAAGAACUGAUGAACUCUUCUUUUCCUGAUGGUGCAAAAAGUGUUUUUUUUUUCAAGGAAAGCUGUUCUGGAAAGAAGUGGGGGAUUUAUUUCCACAUAUCUACACCGAAACUCUUGUUUUCCUGUAACUAUACUGGCUUUAUUUUUAAUUGCAGACCUGAACAAAGACUUAAUGCCUUCACAAUUAGCAGUUGUAAAUGGAUAUGAUGUAAGGACUAACUUUGACUCAAAAUUCUAUUUUUUAUCCAAUUUAGAUGGAUGAUUUCAUAUAUGAAGUUACAUGAAUGAAAGUCUGAGCCUCUUCACUGAGACUUCAACAGAAUGUGCCUGAGUCCUUAGAGCUUAGCACCUGAAGCUGCUAAUGUUUCCAAGAUAGCUUGAUGUAGCUGGAGUAAGUGCACUAUCCUGUGCUGACAAUCCUGUCCUAGAACUGAGCUAAUAAAGCUGUGGAACUUUGACCAUCACUGCUUGUGAGGUAGGCAAGCUCUGUAGCCUUGCCCUUAAGCAAACUCUUGCCAAUUCUUUGUUCGCUGGCAAUGUUGAAUAUGUCUGUUAAGCUCAUUUUAGGUCUAAACUGUUGUCUGUUUGGGACAAACUCGACGGCAGGUUUAGAUUUAAACUUCUCAUUUGUUUUUUUUUAACUACAGAUUAAUGUGCACUGCCCAUCCCAUCACCAUGAUAGAUGGGAGAACAGAAAACAAAAUGGAACAAUGUGUUUAAACCUUGGACAUAAAAUGCUGGAUUCUUUCUCCACAUGAUAUUUUAUGACAGCAGAAAUUAUUCUGUUAUUUGGUACAAUAUUAAUUAAGGUGAAGAUGCUGUUGUAAGACAGGGGACUGAUGUGGUCUUCAGAUAACCUUCAAAUAGGAAGCAUAAGUAGAUGCAGCAGCCUACUGUAUGAAAGCCAGCAAUUAGGAAUUUCAGUGAGACAGUUAGAUGAAUGCACAAAACAUUGCAAAUUAAAGAAAAGGGAAAGAAAAAUGAAAGAGUAAUUCUCAAGGGAGACGUUAUAUGGAGAAGCAAUAAAGUUGUCUUCUAUGCUGUCAAGAAGCUGGCCUGUUUCCAGACAUGAUUAGGUGAGGCUGCAUGGCUGCUGGAAUACCUGUAAAUGAUGUGAAUACUGCCGUGUGGCUUGUUUCCUUACAAAUCUGCCCCUGGAUAAGAGGUGCAAUCUCCAGCUCCAGAGUAAUAGCUGAGAACAAAUGGGCAAGAACUCUAGUCAGUACAAAAUUUCACUGAAGUCACUGGUGGCUUGUAGGUGUAGGAGCUUGCUUGCUCACUUUUGAUUGCAGGAUCCUGGGCCCUAGCUGCCAAAAAAUCUUAUGAAUUGCUAGUCUUGGAAUCUGUUAUUUCUCAAUCUUUCAAACAUGCCAGAACUUGGCUGGCAAUGAACUAUUCUUGCUGGACAGGACCAUAUAAAACCUCUUUGAGUGAACUGAUCACUUGAUUAGAUUGUCUCCUAGGGAACUGAUUUAGUGUAAUAAUGAUAGUGAAUGAAAGUGGCUGUUGCUUCACGGGAACGAGACUGUUCUGCUGCUCAUUGGCGGGUUCUUUGAUCAGUGUUCAAGGGUUAAGCUAAUGGAAGCUAGCUGGUAUGCAGUGGAGUGUUGAGUAGACAUUACACUCCUAACUAUGCCUUUGGUGAGGGCAUGAGAAUGGUGUUUCUGCCUGCUGAAAUCCUGCUGCCUCAUGAGAACUGCAGAAAACUUGGCUUAGUUUGCACUUCCUACAAAGUGUGCCCAGAUGGGACUCUAGGAGAAUAAAAGGAACACAUCAGAAGAAAAAGUGUAUUUGCAGUAGCUCUCUUCAAGAGUCCUGCUGAUUGGUCGGUUGGUUGAUUUUCAGAGCUGCAAAGGAUAGUCUGCAAAAGGAAAUAUCUGCAAGCAAGAUGUUAUAUAACCAGAACCAGUUAACCAUGUGCAUCCUUCCUUUAUAGUGACUCCUCUGUUGUGGAUUCAACCUCCAAGUUAUGCGUUUUCAGUACGGGUAAAACAUACAAUUUGAAAAUGAAAGUAUAAACAGUCUACCUUAUUUAUUCAUACCCCAAUUUGUACGUAUGAACAACAGUAGCAUAACCACUUACAUUAAUUUGACAGUAAACCAAAAGAAAAAAUGCCUUGAAAUGAGCAAAAAGCAGUUCUAUAUGUCAUUUAUAAAAGUCCCCUCACACAAAGAGAUUUCAAAACCAUUGAUGUGCACUAUGCUCUGUGCAAAUUUUUACUCCCUUUUGUGUCUGUGUCUGAAAUAGAGCACAUUUUGACAGACUCUAUACAUUUACGUUGUAUGAGCUUUGUAAAAAAAAAACUGCAAUGUAAAAACUGCUGCACAGAUUUGUUUGUGUUUUAUUUAAUAAUUUAAAUUAAGUAGGCUAAGCAGAGAGAAUGCAUUUGCUAGCUGAAGUUUCGACAGGAUUUUGAGUUUAAUAUUACUCUUGUUAGUCUAGGAAAAGCUUGGAAUAGUCUAGGAAGUAGGAUUUAGGUAAAAGGUACCAUUAUUUUAUGUAGGAGCCAGCCUCCUACAUAAUAGGCUAGAGGACAAAUAGGGCGUCAGCGUUCACAAGAAAGAGCUAAAUCUAAGCAUAUAAUUUGGUGUCUGGCAGUUCAUAUUGACAUAAACACACCCAUUUGGGUCAAUUUUUGUGUUUGGGGAUAGGGCACACUACUUUCUUGAGCUUGUGUUUGAAAACUGUCCUUCAAGCAUUAGAAUUUGUAACACUGGCUUCUUUCAUCAAGCAUCUGAGCUAUUUGUUUGCCACAUUUUCAUUAUAACAAGUUUAGCAGUGAAGAAGUAUGCUUUGAAAAAGCAUAUUGGAUAAAGACAAUAGCAUCUGUUAAGGGUUGAGGAGGGACUUCUGAUGUGACAUCGUUAAAUGCCACACAAAAUAUUUCAAAAAUUUGUCAGAAACCGUUCUUGAAAUGUUGCUAAAGAA